GACCCCAGGUCAGGCGGGGCUACCCGCUGAGUUUAAGCAUAUCAAUAAGCGGAGGAAAAGAAACUUACAAGGGUCCCCUAGUAACGGCGAGCGAACCGGAACACCCCAGGUGGAAAAUCGGAUGCGCUUGUCGUUCGAAUUGUGUUCUGGAAAAAACGUCACA
rnacentral:rRNA from 1 species